AGGCGCGCUGUUGCACCGUACCACAGCAUCAACGGGCUUCUAGUGGCUUUUGUCUAAACUGCACAUUGGUGCUUCUUCUUAACUCUACCCCGUUUCAAGAUACAAGCUCUACAGCCGCGAGGCACUUCUAAGGCAAGAUUCUCUGGACUCUGUUAUUCGCUAUGCAAGGUCUACAUGACUCUCCUCUUCUUUUCCCGUUACACAAGCCUCUUUUGCAUGCACAGAUUGAGGGCAUCUAGAUUUGUUUCCAAACGAUGGAGCCGAACAUCGUGACGGAAGAAGAGCAUCUCAUGUAGCUGCUCUCCGCCUCGACUAGUGUACUUGCGUUACAAGACCAUGAUCGCGUCUUCUGAUGGCUUGAGAGCGUUCAAAUACUAUUGAAAAACACAACACUGCCCAUUCCGAGUGAGAUGGUGCUUGACCACUCAGCCCUUUGCGAUGCUCGCUCGCUCCCCCUGGGUAGCAAUCUCUCGCGCCUUGUCAUUUCAGCCACUCUGCUCCCUGAAUUGAACAGCUUGCUCGCUACUAGUGCUCUCACUUGCUCGUGUGACCUGAGAUCGAGGCAACUCCCCCAGCAUUCACAUCUUUUUCACACGAGGGUGGAUGCUUGACUACUAGAAUGUGUGCAUAGGCCGGCGUCCCUGGAGGGGCUACAGUAGGUCGGACGCAUCAAGGAGCGGGACUCCAGCACUUUCACAUGCUCCUGCUCUCCUCAUCCCAUCUCCGCCUUCAGCUGCUGCAUCCCCCUUUUCUCUGCUUCUCCGAAAUGCGUGCCGUACCACCGCCUCAAG
rnacentral:misc_RNA from 1 species